GGGACUCCACGUGAAGUUGAUAAUCCCCCGGAUUGUUCAGUCUAAAAACCAUGACCAGCCGACAAUUUAAGAAAGAAAUUCUCAAUCUUUCAAGAGCACUGAGUCAUGUCGUCGAGUAGAAAAGAAUAUUAUGCUAGUAGAGACGCCUCUAAAGUGUAUUUGUUGGGUUCUUUCCCUCGAUGGAGAGCGUUUAAGGAGCAGCAUAAAUUGAGAACAGACAAGGAUGUGGCGGAUAUGCUUCUUGACAGCUAUCUUGCGAUGAAUCGUAUAGUUUGCAAUGCAGAGACGCACCGAAACGGUAAUGGAAUCAAGGGAUAUGCCGCCAAGUACACCUUCCAAAUAUUUUUCUUCUCCCAUUAAAACCUCAACGCCAAGCGCGCACUCAAAUCCGCGUCCAUUGUCUGCUUUGUCGGAUGUUAGAACAUCAUAUUCUAUCAGGUCGGGUCAGAGUGUGAUUUCUGACAGUCGAACGUUGACAGCCAAAGAU